rnacentral:lncRNA from 1 species
GUAUUUGCCACUGACCAUUUGCUGAGGUCGUAUUUGCCACUGACCAUUUGCUGAGGUCGUAUUUGAUAGGACUAAAAUUGAUGGGGUUAAAAUUGACAAUUUUCCGGCCGGAACCACCUAACUUGUUGUCAAGAGGACAAUAGCUCAACCAAAUUCAUAAUCUAGAUCUAAUCCCAUAAUCCACCAGGCUCAGGACCAAAACGUGUAAAUAGUCCCGUUCUAAAGCAUGUUUU